rnacentral:rRNA from 1 species
GACGAACGCUGGCGGCGUGCUUAACACAUGCAAGUCGAACGGAGAGGCCCUUCGGGGUCCUCGAGUGGCGAACGGGUGAGUAACACGUGGGUGAUCUGCCCUGCACUUUGGGAUAAGCCUGGGAAACUGGGUCUAAUACCGAAUAGGACCACGCGCUUCAUGGUGUGUGGUGGAAAGCUUUUGCGGUGUGGGAUGGGCCCGCGGCCUAUCAGCUUGUUGGUGGGGUAAUGGCCUACCAAGGCGACGACGGGUAGCCGGCCUGAGAGGGUGACCGGCCACACUGGGACUGAGAUACGGCCCAGACUCCUACGGGAGGCAGCAGUGGGGAAUAUUGCACAAUGGGCGCAAGCCUGAUGCAGCGACGCCGCGUGAGGGAUGACGGCCUUCGGGUUGUAAACCUCUUUCACCAGGGACGAAGCGUAAGUGACGGUACCUGGAGAAGAAGCACCGGCCAACUACGUG